GAUGACUGGAUGACGUUCACCUUGGUGAAGCGUAAAAUGACCUCCGGUAAGUUUUUGUUAAUUUAAUUAGAUUCUUUGUCAAAAUAAAAAUUGUAAGGCAGCCAAAUGAGAAAAAUCAAGUCAAACUUGGGUCAAUCUAGUCAAACCCGUAGUCAAAGUGAUAGUAAAGUUGUUUUUAUUGUAAUUGUAUUGUCUAUGAUUUAAACUUUACAGAUAGCAUUCGUGAAUGCAAUGAUUAUGACAUGAUGAGUCAUGUCGAGGAGGAAGAUGAGGAAGCAGGACCGAGGAAAAAAACUAAACGUAACUUUGAUGACUAUGUUCUUGAAUCUGACGAUUUGGAGGAGGAAGAAGAGAACAUGACAGAUGCCAUUAUCAAGGUGCCCUCCUUUCCCAUUCCACCAACAAAGGUGACAAAGUCCAUCCAGAUGGAGUCUGCUGGAUUUAACAAAAAGUCCACUGACUCUGGACACUCUAAUUUAGCCAGGUCUCACCAGACAGGUGUUGGGUCCAGGGACAGGUCCACAGGCAACCCUGGACAUUUAAACAUAAACCGAGCCAGCCAGUUGAGGGGUGCUUGGUCCAGUCAUCAGUCCAGCCACAGUGAUGUAUCCCAGCACAGUGAUGUAUCCCAGCGGAGUGUCGGGUCCCAGCACAGCAAACGGUACCGACACAGGAAGCAGUCCAGGCACAGCGACCGGUCCAGGGACAGCAACCAGAUGGGACAAGAUUAUGAAAUUGAUCAAACACAAAUCUUAAAAUCCUCUGGGAGGUCUUUUUCAGAGCAGAGUAACAGGUCCUCUGCACAUGAAUCAAGACGUACAGGGCCUCGUAGGGAAACAGACUUAAGAUUUCCAAUGGAUAUGGCAACUGCAAGCAGCGAUGAAAGGGCCCUCGCACCCGUGCUCACCACCACCACCCGUGCUCACCACCACCCGGUGGCCAUAGGAGAUCGGUG
ensembl:lncRNA